rnacentral:tRNA from 1 species
UCCCGCGUAGCUCAGGGGUGAGAGCGCCUUGCUGAUAACAAGGAGGUCGGUAGUUCGAUUCUACCCGUGGGAAC